GUCUACGGCCAUGCCACCCUAAACAAGCCUGAUGUCUGACCUCGGAAGCUAAGGAGGGUCAGGCCUGGUUAGUACUUGGAUGGGAGACCACCUAGGAAGACCAGGUGCUGUAGGCA
rnacentral:rRNA from 1 species